AUCCCCGAUAUGGAGGCGGGGAACCCAAAACACCAAGAGCAGUGGGUGCUUAGGAAGCCACAGAGCUGGGAGUAGAGCCCCAGCAGCCUGAUCCAGAGCCCCUGUUCUUCACCACCACCCUGCCCUCCUCCAGGGAGCACAAUGGGGGUCCCGGAGCCUCUUUCCAUCUGUUGGAUCUCGGUGAGAGGCCAGGUGCAAGCAGUUUUCCAAAGCAGGCUGAUCAGAGAAGGCCUCCAAUUAUGUGUGGGGGAGGGGAAGUGGCCUCACACAGACAUGACCCUGUGCCACCACGAAAGCAGGGACACUCAUGCUGGGUCCUAGGUCUUCUGAGAGCCACCAUUCACUGAUUGCAGGCACGGUGACCCUCCACCCCCAGCCUAGCCUCCCAUUCCCUGCUCUGGCAGAGCUUGUAUGCUAGAAUGAGCUUCCAAAAAUUCCUCCACUCAGUUUGUUCCUUUGUUCAUUCCUUUGUCCAUUUAACAAACAUUUACUGCGGGUCUACACUGUGGUAGACUCUGUGUUCAGAAUAAUACAAAGAUGAAUAAGACGAUGGCCCAGACUUCAGGCAACUUAUGGUGCCAUAGGGGAAGACAAAUAAAAAAUGAUAGAAUUUGCUAGAAUUUGCUGAGCAUCUAUCUAGUGCCAGGCAUUGAAGAAUGCACUAGGGACACAAAGCUUGUGGAUUCAGGGGAUUUGGUCAAAGCUAAUUUAUCCUAGAGUAAUUUGAAUGACUGUAAGUUGGCCAAGACCUAGGUGCAGGAACGCAAGUUUGUUAAUACGGCAAUUUGAUCCAAACACCUCCAGGUCUCUCGCCAUCCAAACUGAACAGCUCCUGAUGGUGAGAAAUACUUCACUUAGUUAAACAUGAGUGUGUCUUAGUCUUGUUUGAGUCUUGGUAAUUUUCAAACACCAUGGGAGUACUUUUGCAAUUCUUUAUGCAUCUUUAAGCAUUUUAUCUGUUUUUCUAAGUUAUUUUCUUCCAAAUCAUACACUGCCACAAGCAAUCAGUAUUGGAGUACAGCACCAGAAAAUGAAGUAAAAGAAGAUGAAGGAAUUGAAAUGAGGUUCCCCCAGCUGGGAACACACGAUGCAGAAAGGCUAAUUCCAACAAAACUGGAGAAUAAUGUACCCCCAACUCUGUGCUAACACCGAGGCACUCAGCGAAGUCAUGGGCCUUGUCCAUGUGAUUCAUUGAGGUAUCCCGGAACCUAGAACAAUGCCUGGCAUGCACAAGUGAUCAACAAAUGUUCAAUGAAUAAAUAAUGGGUGGGGAUUUAAAAAACAACAACUAGAGACAAUGCUUUACUGGUUUAAAAAAUGAACGGGUUUUGUCAGGAAACAAGGGAAGAAAUCUGUAUUAAUUGAGUCCCUACUGUGGGCCAGGCACAGAGCUAAGUGAUUUAGUUCUAAGUCAUUAAAUCCUCACAACAGUGAGGUGAAGUAUUGUCAUUCCCACCUAACAGAGGACACUGAGGCUCAGGGAGCUUAUGUAGCUUGCUUAGGGUUACCAAAUGUAAGAGCUAUAAGAAGAAAGGUGAAGGACGCCCCUGGCUAAGACGGUGUACUUUCCUGCAGGCUUGCAUAAGGCAUAAUGCAUCCUAAUUCAGGAACAGCUAAUCAUGGCCAAACAUUACUCCAGAAAGAAUUUUAAAUAUUGUUAAUGUGUAACUAUUCAAAAUGCUUUCCUUUUAUAGGUUUAUAGAAGAAUAGUUUCAGGGCUGUAGCAGUGAUAUCCAGUAACAUUCAAUAUGAAGGAGCUCUGUGAAGGCUAAUUUACAGAAUCAUGGCUGUGCUUUUUUAACUCUUCAUGUAUAUUUAGGCAUUUUCCUGUGUUUCCAAAUGAACCCUGUUCCUCCUGUUCCUCCUCCUCCUCCUGUUCCUCUUCCUGUUCCUGCUCCUGUUCCUGCUCCUUUAGGAAAGGCUCAUGCAAUGGAAUCUGAGGCCUGUUGGUCAUUUGCAAAUCUUCAUGGCAGUGGGCUCAAGUCAAGGGUGAGAGAGCCAUGGGCUCUGAUUUGGAAAUGACCAAAGCUCAAGAAGCCUACAUUCCUCAACAUGAGUCCUAACUGAGGCUAAAGCAACGGGACACCCCCACAGCCACAAGACCAUCCACCACCCAGAGGUCCUGUAGCUGAAUAAAAUAUCAAUCCUUUGGGAGUUAAGGAGAAAUAUAGCACCUGCUUGGGAAAAACUGGAGAAUACAAGAAAAUUCAGUGCCAUUCACUAAGCACUUAUUGAGGACCCCUGAGCUCCAAGCCUUAAGUAGGACGGAGGAUUAGAAAAGAUAGCAACUAAGACAAGAUUGUUCUCAAGAAUAUUACCGCAAGUGUUGCUAACACUGCUAGCCCUUUAAGGCCAGCUGGGAAAAGCACAAUCAGGCAGCCAUCCAGGCAAACUGGAGAAAGCACCCAUUUAGACAUUAGAGAGAUCGCAGUUCAAAUCCCCACUCCUCCCAUUAAUACCUAACUGACAUGGAGGGAAUUACCUAACUUCUCUGAGCCCAAGUCUUCUCCUCAGUGUAACUAAGCUGAAGAGUUCUGAGGUUAAGGGGUGCCUUUGAAAGAAGAGGAUCUGGGUGAGAGGAGGCAAUGCUGAGGGAGUCUUGCUGGAAAAAGCAGCAAUGUGGCAGAGGGCCUGAUACAAAGGACACAAGUCACUAUUAUCCUGGAAGGUUGCACGUGGAGGCAGGUGAAACCUAAUCUCCAGAGAUUCUCUCAUCUCUAGACUCUAGAGAUUCUAGAGAACCUCCCAGUUUCUGUAGAGAGUCAGGAAGCCUUUAUUUUCUUAAAUCCAUAGGGAUUGAUGAGAAGAUUCAUGGAACAAACGAAGGGCUAGUAGUAGAUAAGGCUUUACAGGUAGGCUGGAGCAAAUUGAGAAGUUGAGUGCUGUCCUAAGGCAGUAAACUUUAUCCUUGAGGAGAUGAAGGUUUGAAGACAGGAAGCUGGUGCCUUAGGAGGUUCACACUGGUGGCUGGGGUCUGGGAGAGCAGUUAAGAGGCUAUACUGAUGGGCCCAGUGAGAACCCACAGGAGCGGGAGGGAAGGAGGAGAGGUGUUUGUCAAGUGAAGGGAUACAAGUGAGAAUUGUUAUUAAUGGGAUCUGGUGGGGAGAGAAGAUGGCUUUAUCACUGGAGAGUUCACUGAAUUCAGAAACCCAGGAGGCAGACAAGUAGGGCUGGCAGGAAGAGGAUCAGCCUAGAUUUACAGCUGCCAAAACGAAAAUGCUAGAAGGAUGCUUGCGUGCAGGGAAUAUCCUGCCGGCAGCGGGAAAGGGGCACAGGGCACAAGGAGAAGCUGAUGGCCAGAUGUAGACGUGGGAACCAGCUUCACAAAAGUAAGGGCUGAAAAUGUGUCGUUGGAUACAAAUCCCUAAGGGAGAAAAGGCAGGGAGAAGAGGGUCAAGGCAAUACCCCGAAAGACCACUGAGAAAUAUAGACUUUGGGAUGGAGACCAAGAAAGAGCAAUCUCAAAGGAGUGAAGGGAGAAGAGUUUCAAGAAUGGUGCUGUCCAUGGCCAGAAACUGCGGCUGUCAUGGGGUAUGGAGGAGACAGCAUGUGAGUAGGUGACAGCGAGGACACAGGUGACCUCUGUGAGAGUGACACAGUAAUAGGUGAAGAACUGACAUUGUGAGGGUUGAAGGUCAAUGGUUGAAACUGCUGAAGAAGAAGCGGGAGAUGACAGGAAGGGACUGGGCCUUCUAGAAGAUCUGUAAGAGAGGAGAGGAAGGCCAGGUAGUGGUAGCUUGUAGAGAAAGUUUUCUUGAAGAUUUGGUGUUUUCUACAGACACACAGGGGAGGGAGCAGGGGAAUGAGACAGACAGGAAGACGUGAGAGAGAAAGGAUUCAUAGAAGACAAGAAGACAGGCCCAGCAGCCCUGAACAGGACCUGGAAAUGCAGAACUCCAUGCAAGUCUGACUUCUGGUGCUGAAGAACAUCAGCCACUAAGCAGCACAGACAGAGCCCAUGCCUGUGCUGUCCUCACACCCAACAUGAGGACUAAGUAUUGGCUUCAUCAUCAGUGAGAUUUCCUAAGGAGAAUUUCACACCGAGGUGAUCAGUUGUGUGUUGCGGGAAGUCAGGGACCCCGAACGGAGGGACUGGCUGGAGCUGUGGCAGAGGAACAUGAAUUGUGAAGAU
rnacentral:lncRNA from 1 species